rnacentral:rRNA from 1 species
CAAAGACUAAGCCAUGCAAGUGCCCGUAUGAGUGUUUAUACAACGAAACUGCGAAUGGCUCGGUAAAACAGCAAUAAUUUCUUCGGGGAUAUUACUACUCGGAUAACCGUAGUAAAGCUAGAGCUAAUACGUUCCAUUAAAGCGCGAGUAAUCACGCUCGUGGUACUAAGUAUUAGAUACAACCCAGUUUUUUCUGGUGAUUCAUACUUAUCUUCUGAUCGCACCUCGUGUGCGACGCCCCGAUUAAAUUUCUGACCUAUCAACUAUGAUGGUAAGGUAGGGUCUUACCAUGGUUGUGACGGGUAACGGACCGUGGGUGCGGGAUUCCGGAGAGGGAGCCUGAGAAACGGCUACCACAUCC